rnacentral:lncRNA from 1 species
CGUCGCCCCGAGUUCUCGCGCGAAAGUGUGAUUUUCUGAUGACGUACAAACGAGGAGUACACCGCACCUUUCCGGAAAAAAGUGAUUCACUCGUUGCCACUUCACACCCAUGAAUCUACUUUCAGCGGAGAAACGAGGAGGAGCCGGGUGCCCCUGGAGAGUCCAUAUGCCCAACAUCUUUACUUUCAGCCUGUCUCCACAAUAUAACGCCCGUAAAGAUGGGGUAGGGAGGAGGUGGCGGCGCCUGUCCUGUGAGCACAGAGCUCCUUUUCCCGACCUCCAGCAGUAGAAUUUCUCCGGUAUGUUUGUGAUGUGAAGCAGAGAUGUCGCCUAGGUUUUGUCGUUCAACGCAAACGCAGAGACUUUGCUUCCCGCAGGCAUGGCAACACCGGACAGCCCGGACGACGAGCUCUCGGCGGACAUGUUCAAUGUGAGAGCACCUUUCUGUUGGGUUGAGUUCUGUCCUGCUUACCUGUUGUUUGGAGAAGGGAUCUGUUGCAAGCCAACAGCCGCCAGCAGCCGAUGGCCGCGACGCGUAUGUCCCUAGCGGUUGACGUGUGCGUAAAUUGACAGGCUUUCUGGCGUAAGGGCCUGAAGACAAAAACAGUGUCAUGUCUCGCUGGUCAGAAAGCGGUCGGCGGCCACUGAAGCGUCGCAAGGCGAGUUUUUGCAACAUUACUAAACUGGCUCACAAAUAGUGCUGUCGUGAUGGGCGGAGAGAGGAGUUGAACAGCGCCGAGUCCUGAGGCCGCUGCAGAAGCCACAGCCUGAGCUUCUGUUGCGCCUGUACGUUUUCCCUUCAACUCUGCUUGUGUGUACGUGGUCGGCGUAGCGGCUC